UACGGGGGGGGCAAGCGUUGUUCGGAAUCACUGGGCGUAAAGCGCACGUAGGCGGACCUUCAAGUCAGGGGUGAAAUCCCGGGGCUCAACCUCGGAACUGCCUUUGAUACUGUUGGUCUUGAGUCCGGAAGAGGUGGGUGGAAUUCCUAGUGUAGAGGUGAAAUUCGUAGAUAUUAGGAAGAACACCGGUGGCGAAGGCGGCCCACUGGUCCGGUACUGACGCUGAGGUGCGAAAGCGUGGGGAGCAAACAGG
rnacentral:rRNA from 1 species